GCAGUCCCGCGGUAAUACGUAGGGCGCAAGCGUUGUCCGGAAUUAUUGGGCGUAAAGAGCUCGUAGGCGGUCUGUCGCGUCUGGUGUGAAAUCCCGAGGCUCAACCUCGGGCUUGCAUCGGGUACGGGCAGACUAGAGUGCGGUAGGGGAGACUGGAAUUCCUGGUGUAGCGGUGGAAUGCGCAGAUAUCAGGAGGAACACCGAUGGCGAAGGCAGGUCUCUGGGCCGCAACUGACGCUGAGGAGCGAAAGCAUGGGGAGCGAACAGGAUUAGAUACCCCGGUAGUCCCUGUCUCUUAUACA
rnacentral:rRNA from 1 species